GACGAACGCUGGCGGCGUGCUUAACACAUGCAAGUCAAGGGGGCCCAGCAAUGGGCAACCGGCGAACGGGUGCGUAACACGUGAGCAACCUACCGAACUGUGGGGGAUAGCCGGCCUAACGGCCGAGUAAUACCGCAUACGCUCUCAGUGAGGCAUUUCAUUGAGAGGAAACCUACGGGACAGAUCGAGGGGCUCGCGGCCUAUCAGCUAGUUGGCGAGGUAACGGCUCACCAAGGCAACGACGGGUAGCUGGUCUGAGAGGACGACCAGCCACACUGGGACUGAGACACGGCCCAGACUCCUACGGGAGGCAGCAGUGGGGAAUUUUGGACAAUGGGGGAAACCUGAUCCAGCCAUGCCGCGUGAGUGAAGAAGGCCU
rnacentral:rRNA from 1 species